rnacentral:rRNA from 1 species
GACGAACGCUGGCGGCGUGCUCAACACAUGCAAGUCGAGCGGUAAGGCCCUUUCGGGGGUACACGAGCGGCGAACGGGUGAGUAACACGUGGGUGACCUGCCCUCAGCUCUGGGAUAAGCCUGGGAAACCGGGUCUAAUACCGGAUAUGACUCCAUGACGCAUGUUGUGGGGUGGAAAGCCUUGUGCGGCUGAGGAUGGGCCCGCGGCCUAUCAGCUUGUUGGUGGGGUGAGGCCUACCAAGGCGACGACGGGUAGCCGGCCUGAGAGGGCGACCGGCCACACUGGGACUGAGACACGGCCCAGACUCCUACGGGAGGCAGCAGUGGGGAAUCUUGCGCAAUGGGCGAAAGCCUGACGCAGCGACGCCGCGUGAGGGAUGACGG